UUCGCAACCUUCUUCUAACCGUUCGUUUCUCCUGUUCAGCUGUUCUCUCUCCCUGUAGAGAUCAAAAUCGAUAUUAGGGUUUCUCCAACCCUCAAAAAAAUUUCGAAAUCUACACUCAUAACUCACCUGCAUCUUCAAUGCCGAUCACUCCACCUCGAUCAUCUCCAACCUGUUAAAAAAUUCGCUUCUAACCUGAUCACUCGCCAUGUUCGAAGCUCACGUUUUGCAUUUGCUUCGAAGAUACCUGGGCGAAUAUGUCCACGGGCUGUCAGUGGAGGCUUUAAGAAUAAGUGUCUGGAAAGGCGAUGUUGUCCUCAAAGAUUUGAAUUUGAAGGCUGACGCACUAAAUUCACUAAAACUUCCAGUCACUGUCAAAGCUGGUUUUGUUGGUACUAUUACAUUAAAGGUUCCCUGGAAAAGUUUAGGAAAAGAACCUGUGGUUGUUCUUGUCGAUCGCGUUUUCAUUCUUGCUCAUCCUGCCCCUGAUAGCCGGACUCUCAAGGAGGACGACCGGAGAAAACUUUUUGAAACCAAACUUCAACAAAUUGAGGAAGCAGAAUCUGCAACUCUUGAAGCAACUAGAUCAAAGCUGGGAAGUCCUCCUCCAGGAAAUUCAUGGCUGGGCUCUCUGAUUGCCACUAUUAUUGGAAAUCUUAAAAUUUCAAUUAGCAAUGUGCAUAUCAGAUACGAGGAUUCAGUCAGUCAUCCUGGGCAUCCAUUUUCUUGUGGUGUUACCCUAGCGAAGCUGGCAGCUGUCACAACAGAUGAGCAGGGUAUUGAAACAUUUGAUAUCAGUGGUGCUUUGGAUCGAUUACGGAAGUCAUUACAACUUGAGAGGCUUGCUGUGUAUCAUGAUUCUGAUAACCUCCCUUGGAAGAAAGACAAAAAGUGGGAAGAUUUAAGUCCUGAGGAAUGGGUUGAGAUAUUUGAAGAUGGUGUAAAUGAACCCUCUACUGGUCAUGGUAUGGUGUCUAAAUGGGCUAUGAAUCGUAACUACUUGGUGUCACCAAUCAAUGGAGCCCUUAAAUAUCAUCGUCUUGGAAAACAAGAAAGAAGUGAUCCAGAGAUUCCAUUUGAGAAGGCUUCUCUUGUCCUAAGUGAUGUCUCAUUAACAAUUACAGAGGUGCAAUAUCAUGAUUGGAUAAAACUUUUGGAAGCUGUUUCAAGAUACAAGACAUAUGUUGAAAUUUCCCAUUUAAGACCUAAGAUACCUGUCUCUGACAAUCCUUGUCUGUGGUGGCGAUAUGCUGCUCAAGCUGUUCUGCAGCAGCGAAAAAUGUGCUACCGAUUCUCAUGGGACCGCAUUCAGCAUCUCUGUCAGCUUCGUCGCCAUUAUGUUCAAUUGUAUGCUGCCAUGCUGCAACAAUCAUCAAAUGCUAGCACCUCGGAACUUAGAGAAAUGGAGAAAGAUCUUGAUUCUAAAGUUAUUCUCUUGUGGAGGUUACUUGCACAUGCCAAGGCUGAAUCAUUGAAAACAAAGGAAGCUGCUGAGCAGAGGAGGCUAAAAAAGAAAGGCUGGUUUUCAUUUGGAUGGCGUACGAAUUCUGAAGAUGCCUCUGAUGGGGAUGCUUCUGAAGCAUCCCAGUUAAGAGAAGAAAAGCUGACUCAAGAGGAAUGGCUUGCAAUUAAUAAAUUGCUUAGUUACCAGUCAGACGAAGAGUUAAUGCCACAUUCAGGAAAGGACAUGCAGAAUAUGAUUCGGUAUUUAGUGACUGUGUCUGUUAAGCAGGCUGCUGCCAGGAUAAUUGACAUAAAUCAGACUGAGAUUGUCUGUGGUAGAUUUGAGCAGCUUCAAGUCUCAACCAAAUUGAAAAAUCGCUCUACCCACUGUGACGUGUCCCUAAAAUUAUAUGGUUUAUCUGCACCAGAAGGUUCACUUGCACAGAGCGUUUCCAGUGAACAGAAGGUGAAUGCAUUAUCUGCCAGUUUUGUACAUUCCCCAGUGGGGGAGAAUGUUGACUGGAGGUUGUCAGCCACAAUUUCGCCUUGCCAUGUUACGGUUUUAAUGGAAAGUUUUGAUCGCUUUUUUGAGUUUGUGAGGAGAAGUAAUGCAGUUAGCCCUACUGUUGCAUUAGAAACUGCAAAUGCUUUGCAGAUGAAGAUUGAGAAAGUGACUCGAAGAGCGCAAGAGCAAUUUCAAAUGGUAUUAGAGGAACAAAGCAGAUUUGCCCUUGACAUUGAUCUGGAUGCUCCAAAAGUUACAGUUCCUAUGAGGACAGUCAGUUCUUCCAACUGUGAUAUGCAUUUUCUUUUGGAUUUUGGUCACUUCACAUUACACACUAUGGAAACAGAGUCUGAUGAAAAGAGGCAGAGUAUAUAUUCUCGUUUCUACAUAUCUGGCAGAGAUAUAGCUGCUUUCUUUACGGACUGUGAUUCUCACUGCUACAACUCCACAGUGGUUGUGCCAAAUCAUAAUAGCCAGUCACUGACAUCCCAGAUACCAGAAAAAGUUGACAAUUACUUUUCUCUUAUUGAUAGGUGUGGAAUGGCUGUAAUUGUUGACCAGAUCAAAGCACACCACCCUAGUUAUCCUUCAACGCGGAUUUCUGUUCAAGUACCAAAUCUUGGCAUUCACUUUUCACCAGCAAGAUACUCUAGACUUAUGGAAUUGGUGAACAUACUGUACAAUACAGUUGACAACUAUGGUCAGUCUACCGUCGAUAAUUUUCAAACCCAGAUUGCUCCUUGGAGUUCUGCUGAUCUUGCUACCGAUUCUAGAAUCCUUGUUUGGAGGGGGAUUGGCAAUUCUGUGGCUCAUUGGCAACCCUGUUUUCUUGUGUUAUCUGGACUAUAUCUUUAUGUUAUGGAAUCCCAGAAGUCCCAAAGCUACCAGCGAUACUUGAGCAUGGCUGGUAGACAGAUAAAUGAGGUUCCUCCAUCAAGUGUUGGUGGUUCCCAAUUCUGUGUUGCUGUGAGUUUCAGGGGAAUGGACAUUCAGCAAGCGUUGGAAUCUUCUAGUACCUGGAUUUUAGAGUUUCAGGAUGAUGAGGAGAAAACCUGUUGGUUAAAAGGACUUAUACAGGCUACCUAUCUAGCUUCUGCUCCUCCAUCAAUGGAUGUGCUUGGAGAAACAAGUGGCAUUGCAUCCAACUUUGGAGAACCUGAAACACCAAUUCUGAGAACAGCAGACCUUGUCAUCAAUGGGGCACUGGUGGAGGCAAAGUUAUUCAUAUAUGGAAAGAAUGGGGAUGAAGUUGAUGGGGAACUUGGAGAGACUCUUAUUAUCGAGGUUCGUGCUGGCGGGGGAAAGGUGCACAUGAUUCGUGCAGAGGGUGAUCUUAGAGUAAAGAUGAAGCUGCAUUCCCUAAAAAUUAAAGAUGAGCUUAAGAGCCGCCAAUCUGCAAAUCCACGGUAUUUAGCCUGCUCGGUGCUAAAGAAUGACAAGUUUCUUGUAUCCUCUCACAAUGUUGAACCUCUAGGGAUGGGGAUGCCCGUAGUAUCUCAUGAUGAAGAGGAUACUUUUAAGGACGCUUUGCCAGAUUUUUUGUCUCUAGCAGAUGGUGGCAUUUGGUCACCAAAAAUGGACGUCUCUCAUUUUGGAAUUAUGGGAGAUGCCAAUGACUCUUCAGAAUUUGAGUCUCCUGAAUCCUUUACUCUUGAGCAAGAUCUGUUACAAGGAAAAACAAUUCCUGAUGAGAUAUUUUAUGAGGCACACGGCAGUGAUAGUUCUGAUUUUGUGUCUGUUACUUUCUCGAUGCAAAGUUCUUCUUCACCUGAUUAUGAUGGUAUAGAUACACAGAUGAGCAUUCGCAUGUCCAAACUAGAAUUCUUCUGCAAUAGACCUACUCUUGUUGCUCUAAUAGGUUUUGGCUUUGACCUCAGCUAUGUGGAUUCAUCUGAAAGUGGUACUAACAUGACUGAAAUCUCAGAUGAUAAGUCUUCCUUGAAAGAAAUGACUGAAGUCACAGGGCGUAUAAAAGGGCUGCUGGGGUAUGGUAAAAAUCGUGUGGUUUUCUAUUUAAACAUGAAUGUUGACAGUGUCACUGUGUUUCUCAACAAGGAGGAUGAUUCUCAACUCGCUAUGCUUGUGCAAGAAAGUUUUGUUCUGGAUCUCAGGGUCCAUCCUAGCUCUCUUUCUAUUGAAGGCAUGUUAGGAAAUUUCAGGCUCUGUGAUAUGUCACCAGAAACUAAUCAAUGCUGGAGUUGGGUUUGUGACUUACGUAAUCCGGGACUUGAUUCCCUUAUCAAGUUCAAUUUUAGCUCGUACAGUGCUGAAGAUGAUGAUUAUGAAGGAUAUGAUUACAAGUUGAGUGGCCGACUUUCUGCUGCAUGCAUUAUUUUCCUCUAUAGGUUUGUCCAGGAGAUAACUGCAUACUUUAUGGAACUUGCGACCCCAAACACUGAAGAAGCAAUAAAACUUGUCGAUAAAGUAGGGGGAUUUGAGUGGCUAAUCCAGAAGUAUGAGAUUGAUGGAGCCACCGCAUUAAAGUUGGACCUCUCACUUGACACUCCGAUUAUCAUCGUUCCUAGGAAUUCCAUGAGCAAAGAGUUCAUUCAACUUGAUCUGGGCCAGCUACAGGUGACAAAUGAAUUAAGUUGGCAUGGAUCUGCAGAGAAAGAUCCUUCAGCUGUCCACAUUGAUGUUCUUCAUGCCGAGAUUCAGGGAAUCAACAUGUCUGUAGGAGUUGACGGUUGUUUAGGCAAGCCUAUGAUACAAGAAGGCCAAGGAUUGGAUAUUUAUGUGCGCCGUAGUUUGCGGGAUGUCUUUAGAAAAGUCCCAACAUUCUCUCUUGAAGUUAAGGUGGAUUUCCUUCGUGGAGUCAUAUCUGAUAAAGAAUACAGCAUAAUUGUUGAUUGCAUGUGCUUGAAUUUACUUGAAGAGCCAAGGAUUCCACCAAGUUUUCGUGGCUGCAAAUCUGAUACGAAAGAUGCAAUUCGGCUGCUGGUAGAUAAGGUCAACACAAAUAGUCAAGUCCUCUCACAAACUGUCACUAUAGUGGCAGUUGAGGUUAAUUAUGCACUGUUGGAGUUGUGUAAUGGUGUUCAUGAGUCACCUUUAGCACGUCUUGAGCUAGAAGGUCUUUGGGUAUCAUACAGGAUGACUUCGUUGCCUGAAACAGAUCUUUAUGUAACUAUUUCAAAAUUUUCUAUCUUGGACAUUCAGCCAGAUACAAAACCUGAAAUGCGUCUGAUGCUUGGAUCAUCAACUGAUGCUUCCAAACAAGUUUCUGGUGGAAACAUCCCAUACUCUCUAAAUAGAAGUGGCUUUAGGAGAAUGAACUCUGAAUAUGCCCUCGAGGCUGAUGCACCAAAUUCAACAAUGUUUCUAAUGGACUAUAGAUGGAGGCCUUCCUCCCAAUCAUUUGUAGUUCGCGUUCAGCAGCCACGUGUACUUGUUGUACCAGAUUUCCUUCUAGCCGUGGGUGAGUAUUUUGUGCCAUCAUUGGGAACUAUAACUGGAAGGGAGGAAUUGAUUGAUCCUAAGAAGGAUCCCAUUAGCAGAAGCAAUAGCAUAGUGCUUUCUGAAUCUGUUUACAAACAGAGUGAGGAUGUGGUUCACUUGUCUCCAAGUAGACAACUAGUAGCAGAUGCCAAGACAGUUGAUGAAUAUACAUAUGAUGGUUGUGGAAAGAUUAUCUGUUUAAGUGAAGAAACAGACACAAAGGAAUUCCAUUCAGGGAGAUCUCGACCAAUUAUAGUUAUUGGACGUGGUAAGAGGUUGCGGUUUGUCAAUGUUAAAAUUGAGAAUGGUUCCCUUUUGAGGAAAUAUGCAUACUUGAGUAAUGAUAGCAGCUAUUCGAUCUCCAUUGAAGAUGGUGUUGACAUUUCGUUGCUAGACAAUUCUUCAUCUGAUGACGACAAGAAGAUUUUGGAUUACAUGCAUGAACAAUCAGAUGUCUUAAACUCUUCUGAUUCUGAAAACGAUUCAAAUAGGCUGCAGAGUUUCACUUUUGAAUCCCAGGUUGUUUUUCCAGAGUUCACUUUCUAUGAUGGUACAAAAUCUUCACUGGAUGAUUCUUCAUAUGGUGAAAAGCUCCUAAGAGCAAAAAUGGAUUUGAGCUUCAUGUAUGCAUCCAAAGAAAAUGAUAUCUGGAUUAGAGCCCUCGUGAAAGAUCUGACUGUUGAGGCUGGUUCUGGUCUCAUGAUUCUUGAUCCAGUGGAUAUUUCAGGAGGAUAUACCUCUGUUAAAGAGAAAACGAACAUGUCUCUGAUAUCAACGGAUAUAUGUGUGCAUCUUUCAUUGAGUGUCAUUUCUCUUCUGCUUAACUUGCUGAAUCAAGCUACUACAGCAUUGCAAUUUGGAAAUGCGAUUCCCCUGGCACCUUGCUCCAACUUUGACCGAGUUUGGGUCUCCCCUAGAGAAAAUGGCCCUUAUAAUCACCUUACUUUUUGGAGGCCUCACCCUCCAUCAAAUUAUGUUAUAUUGGGAGAUUGUGUGACAUCAAGGCCAAUUCCUCCUUCACAGGCAGUCAUGGCUGUGAGUAAUGCAUAUGGCCGUGUGCAAAAACCUGUUGGGUUCAAUUUCGUUUCCUUAUUACCUGGUAUUCAAGGGUUUGGAGGUGAAAGCCAUUCUGGUUUUGAUUGUGAUUGUUCUCUAUGGGUGCCUGUUGCACCUCCUGGUUACACAGCAUUGGGAUGUGUAGCACAUGUAGGAUGCGAACCGCCACCGACUCACAUUGUUUAUUGCCUACGAACCGACCUUGUAGCAUCUUCAACAUAUUCAGAAUGCAUUUUUAGUUCUGCACCAAAUCCUCAGUCUGCAUCUGGUUUGAGCAUAUGGCGUCUAGACAAUGUCAUUGCAUCUUUUUAUGCCCAUUCUUCUACUGAAUACCCUCCUAGAGAUAGUGGUGGUGACCUGAAUCAUCUUCUUCUAUGGAACUCAAUCCGAAAUCAAUCGUUAUCUAGAGAUGCGGUAUCAGAUUCGGCCGAUGAACAUGACCAUGGAAGUCAAACAAGUAACAAUAGUGCUAAUUCAUCUGGAUGGGACAUUAUUAGAUCAAUUUCAAAAGCAACUAACUCGUAUGUGUCAACUCCAAACUUUGAGAGAAUAUGGUGGGACAAAGGUAGUGAGAUCCGUCGACCUGUCUCAAUAUGGCGACCUAUUGCAUGUCCAGGUUAUGCCAUACUAGGAGAUUGCAUAACUGAAGGCUCAGAACCUCCUGCCCUGGGCAUAAUAUUCAAGAUUGGCGAUCCUGAAAUCUCCUCAAAGCCUGUCCAGUUCACUAAAGUGGCCAAUAUUGUUGGGAAAGGAUUUGAUGAAGUCUUCUUCUGGUAUCCAAUUGCUCCUCCUGGUUAUGCUUCACUAGGAUGUGUUGUCACCAGAACAGAUGAAGCACCACUCUUGAAUUCAUUUUGUUGCCCGAGGUUGGAUAUUGUGAACCAAGCUAAUAUUAUUGAGGUGCCUAUUUCAAGAUCUCCAAGCACAAAAGCAUCUCAGUGCUGGAGCAUUUGGAAAAUCGAAAAUCAGGCAUGCACUUUUCUUGCCCGUAUGGAUCUUAAAAAGCCAUCGAGCCGGUUGGCAUUCACAAUCGCUGAUUCUGUGAAGCCAAAAUCACGGGAAAAUGUAACUGCUGAUAUCAAGCUAGUAUGCUUCUCCAUUACCGUUUUAGACAGCCUAUGUGGAAUGAUGACACCUCUAUUUGAUGUUACCAUAACCAAUAUCAAGCUUGCAACACAUGGUCGUCUAGAGGCAAUGAAUGCUGUUCUAAUUUCCUCUAUUGCUGCUUCGACCUUCAAUGCUCAGUUAGAAGCAUGGGAGCCACUGGUGGAGCCAUUUGAUGGAAUAUUCAAGUUGGAAACAUAUGAUAACAAUGUACAUCCACCAUCAAGAAUUGCAAAGAAAGUACGGGUCGCUGCAACCAGUAUCAUGAACAUAAAUGUCAGUGCAGCAAAUCUUGAAACUUUUAUAGGGACCAUGCUCUCUUGGAGAAAACAGUUAGAACUUGAUCAGAAAGCAGUGAAGCUAAUUGAGGAAGCUGGUUGUCAUCUUAAACAUGAAGAGGACCCAACUUUUUCUGCCUUGGAUGAAGAUGAUUUUCAGACUGUAAUAAUCGAAAAUAAACUAGGGUGUGAUCUGUAUCUGAAACAAAUUGAGGACAAUACAGAUACAGUCAGUCAACUACACAAUGAUGACUGUACUUUUGUGUGGAUCCCACCUCCAACAUUUUCAGACAAUCUAAAGGUUGUGGAUAGAUCUAGGGAAGCACGCUGCUAUGUUGCCAUUCAAAUACUUGAAGCCAAGGGUUUGCCCAUUGUUGAUGAUGGUAACAGUCACAAAUUCUUCUGUGCUGUGCGCCUUGUUGUUGAUAGUCGGGCAACAGACCAGCAGAAGCUCUUUCCUCAGAGUGUGAGGACAAAAUGUGUGAAGCCUUUGCUUCCAAGAGAACAUGAAAUCACUAGUGCCACUGCAAAGUGGAAUGAACUUUUCAUAUUCGAAAUUCCUCGAAAGAUGACUAACAGCCACCAGUUUGGGAAUGGUGCAGAAAAUAGUCAUUUUCAGGGAGUGGCUAAGUUAGAAGUGGAGGUGACAAAUCUUGCAGCAAAAGCUGGAAAGGGUGAAGUUGUAGGUGCCCUCUCCCUUCCUGUUGGACAAGGAGCAGUCAUGUUGAAGAAGGUGGCUUCUGCAAGAAUGCUAAAUCAACCACAUGAUUUUCAGAAUGUUAUGUCAUGCCCAUUAAGAAGAAGGGCUCCACAUGAUGAUGUUGAACAAAUGCUUGAAAGUGGUCAUCUGUUAGUUUCUACUACGUAUUUUGAGAGGAAUCUGGCAGCAAACUUUCAGAGAGAUAAAGAAACUGAGCUAUCUCGUAAUAGAGAUGUCGGUUUUUGGAUCAGGCUUAGCCCGGAAGGUGCAUGGGAGAGUGUUCGGUCGUUACUUCCACUGUCUGUGGUACCCAAAUUACUACAUGAUGAAUUUCUUGCCAUGGAGGUUGUCAUGAAAAAUGGCAAGAAACAUGUAAUUUUUAGGGGUCUUGCAAUCGUAGUAAAUGAUUCUGAUGUUAAAUUGGAUAUUUCUAUUUGCCACGUGUCUUUGGUUCAUGGCCGUGAUCCAUCUCUAGGAACAAGUAAAUUGAACAUUGUGAUAGAAGAGAUAUUCGAGAAUCAGAGUUAUCACCCAAUUUCUGGUUGGGGUAACAAGUUGCCUGGUUUUCGAAGUACUGGUCCAGGGCGAUGGAGCACUAGGGACUUCUCGUGUUCAUCAAAGGAUUUUUUUGAACCUCACCUUCCAACUGGAUGGCAAUGGACAUCUACAUGGAUUAUUGAUAAAUCUGUACCUGUUGAUGAUGAUGGUUGGACAUAUGGUCCUGACUUCCAUACAUUGAAGUGGCCUCCAGCUUCAAAGUCAUAUAAAUCUGCUCAUAAUGUUGUGCGCCGAAGGCGAUGGAUUCGCAGGAGGCAACAAUUAACUGGGGAAGGAUCAAAUAGCGUGAACAGUGAUUUUAUUUCCAUAAAUCCUGGAUCAUCAUCUGUUUUACCAUGGAGGAGCAUAUCCAAAAAUUCUGAUCUGUGUUUACUAGUACGUCCUUGUGCUGAUCAUUCUCAGCCUGAAUAUGUAUGGGGCCAAGCAGUUGCUUUCGUUUCUGACUACAUGUUUGAGAAGGAUCAACCUUUCAGUGAUCAAGGCUUGCUUGCAAGACAAAAUACUUUAAAGCAGCAAAGAAAAAUGCCAAAUGCUUUUAUGCUGAAUCAGCUGGAGAAGAAGGAUGUUCUUUUCCAUUGUCGCCCAAGUAGUGGAAGUGCAGCAUUUUGGCUCAGUGUGGGUGCUGAUGCUUCAAUCCUCCACACUGAAUUAAAUUCUCCUGUUUAUGAUUGGAGAAUAUCUAUUAACUCCCCAUUGAAGCUGGAAAACCAACUUCCUUGUGCAGCAGAAUUUACAGUUUGGGAAAAGGGAAAAGAAGGGAAUUGCAUUGAGCGGCAACAUGGUAUAAUCUCUUCACGCCAGAGCAUACAUGUAUAUUCAGCUGAUAUCCGUAAAUCUGUCUAUCUUACAUUGCUUCUUCAGGGUGGUUGGGUUCUUGAAAAGGAUCCUGCCCUCGUGCUGGAUCUUGGUUCUAGUGGUCAAAUCUCAUCAUUCUGGAUGGUCCACCAACAAAGUAAAAGGAGACUGCGUGUGAGCAUUGAACGAGACAUGGGAGGAACCACUUCGGCUCCUAAAACAAUUAGGUUAUUUGUACCAUAUUGGAUCGUAAAUGAUUCAUCUCUACCAUUAUCAUAUCGAGUGGUAGAGAUUGAGCCAUUAGAGACAGUUAAGUCUGUGAAAGCUUCCUUUAAAAAUCCCACAAACUCCAUGGAAAGGAGAUUUGGCACAAAGAGAAAUGUUCAAGUACUUGAAGUGAUUGAGGAUACCAGCCCGAUACCGAGCAUGCUUUCUCCUCAAGACACUGCUGGUCGGAGUGGGAUUAUGUUGUUUCCAUCUCAAAAAGAUGCAUACCUGUCUCCACGUUUGGGCCUUGCAGUAGCUAUUCAUCAUUCUGAGAUCUAUAGUCCUGGGAUUUCUUUUCUUGAGCUGGAAAAGAAGGAAAGGGUUGGCAUAAAGGCAUUUGGUUCUGAUGGAUCUUACUACAAGCUUUCAGCAUUACUGAAGACCUCAGACAGAACAAAGGUUCUUCAUAUUCAGCCACACACCUUGUUCAUCAAUAGGCUGGGUUUCAGUCUCUGCCUGCAGCAAUGCGGUUCCCAGCUGGUGGAAUGGAUUCACCCCGCUGAUGCUCCAAAACCCUUUGGAUGGCACUCUUCUGCCGAUGUCGAGCUGUUGAAGUUGCGAGUGGAUGGAUACAAAUGGAGCACUCCAUUUAGUAUUUGUAAUGAAGGAAUGAUGCGAAUAUCCUUGGAGAAAGAUUCGGGAGAUGAUCAAAUGCAGCUGAGGGUACAAGUAAGAAGUGGCACAAAGAGAACACAAUAUGAAGUUAUUUUCCGCCCAAAUUCUUUGUCCAGUCCUUACAGGAUUGAAAAUCAUUCGUUCUUUUUACCCAUUCGCUUUCGGCAAGUGGAUGGUCCCAGUGAAUCAUGGAAGCUUCUUCUUCCAAAUGCAGCUGCUUCUUUCUUAUGGGAAGACUUUGGUAGACCAAGAUUAUUGGAACUUUUAGUUGAUGGAACAGAUUCAUCAAAAUCAUUGAAAUACAAUAUCGAUGAGAUUCUUGAUCACCAGCCCAAUCAUGCAGAGGGUCAGCCUGUUAGACCAUUACGGGUUACUGUUCUAAAAGAAGACAAAAUGAAUAUUGUUAGGAUCAGUGACUGGAUGCCAGAAAAUGAACUUCCAAUUACUGGUAAAAGAGUCCAACCGCCAUUAUCACAACUUUGUGGAAAUGACUCUCUACAACAGCAGUUGCCAUUGUCCACAGGUUGUGAAUUUCAUGUUGUUCUUGAGCUUGCUGAGCUUGGAAUAUCUGUUAUUGACCACACACCUGAGGAGAUUUUAUAUCUUUCUGUCCAGAAUCUUCUUUUAGCAUAUUCUACUGGUUUGGGGUCUGGGUUUAGUAGGUUGAAUCUAAGAGUGCAUGGAAUACAAGUGGAUAACCAGUUACCAUUAACUCCAAUGCCAGUUCUCUUCAGACCACAGAAAGUUGGGGAGGAUAGAGACUAUGUAUUGAAGUUUUCCAUGACAAUGCAAUCAAAUGGAUCUUUAGAUUUAUGUCUCUAUCCCUAUAUUGGUUUCACUGGACCUGAAAGUUCUGCUUUCAUAAUAAACAUCCAUGAACCUAUCAUUUGGCGCCUUCAUGAGAUGAUCCAGCAGGUCAACCUCAGUAGGUUAUAUGAUACAAAAACAACUGCCGUGUCGGUUGAUCCAAUUAUUCAUAUUGGUGUUCUCAACAUCUCAGAAGUUCGAUUCAAAGUUUCAAUGGCCAUGUCACCUAGUCAAAGGCCAAGAGGAGUACUCGGGUUCUGGUCAUCCUUGAUGACUGCUUUGGGCAACACUGAAAAUAUGCCUGUGAGAUUAAAUCAAAGAUUUAAUGAGAAUAUGUGCAUGAGACAGAGUACUAUGAUAGGUAUUGCUGUCUCAAACAUAAAAAAGGAUCUACUUCGCCAACCUCUUCAACUGCUCUCUGGUGUUGAUAUAUUGGGCAAUGCAAGCAGUGCACUUGGACAUAUGAGUAAAGGUGUAGCUGCCUUAUCGAUGGAUAAAAAAUUCAUCCAAAGUCGACAGAGACAGGAGAACAAAGGUGUAGAGGCUCUUGGUGAUGUCAUUAGGGAGGGAGGCGGAGCACUAGCAAAAGGCCUCUUUAGAGGAGUUACCGGUAUUCUAACAAAGCCUCUUGAAGGUGCAAAAAAUUCAGGUGUUGAGGGUUUUGUUCAGGGAGUUGGAAAAGGAAUAAUAGGUGCAGCUGCUCAGCCAGUCAGUGGGGUUUUGGAUCUUUUGUCCAAAACCACGGAAGGGGCCAAUGCUAUGAGAAUGAAGAUAACAUCAGCUAUAACCUCAGAGGAACAACUGCUCCGCCAGAGGUUGCCUCGUGUUAUUAGUGCUGAUAAUUUGCUUCGACCUUAUAAUGAGUACAAAUCCCAAGGGCAGGUUAUAUUGCAGCUGGCAGAGUCGGGUUCAUUUUUUGGCCAGGUUGAUCUAUUUAAAGUGCGUGGGAAGUUUGCCUUAUCAGAUGCUUAUGAAGAUCACUUUAUGCUCCCUAAAGGAAAGAUCAUUGUGGUAACACAUCGAAGAGUCAUGUUGCUGCAACAACCAUCCAACAUUUUAGCUCAGAGGAAGUUCAGCCCGGCAAGGGAUCCAUGUUCAGUAUCGUGGGGUGUUUUAUGGGUUGACUUGGUGACCAUGGAAUUGACUCAUGGGAAGAAGGACCAACCAAAAGCUCCACCUUCACACCUCACUCUUUAUUUACGGAGUAGAUCAACAGAGUCAAAAGAACAAUUUCGUGUGAUAAAAUGCAGCCGUGAGACAGAUCAGGCCCUGAAGGUCUACUCUUCAAUAGAGAGAGCAGUUAACACUUACGGACGCAACCUAUCAAAUGAAAUGCUCAAAAAUCAAGUGACAAAACCGUAUGCACCGAGUGCAGAUGUCUCCAGACUUGAAGGAAUUUCAAAGGAAGGGGAUUGUAUCUGGUCUCCCCAACAGAUGCCUGAGUCAGUUACUCAGAGUUCAACAUUUGGCAACAGCUCCAAUUGAUUUUGGGAAAACUGCUCAAUGGAGAAUGUGGUUAAUAUUUUGCUGAAGUCGGGUCAUACAACUUCUAUGCUUUUGAAUGUUAAAGAUUUUAGGCCACAUGCCUGUGCUGUUCAGAAGAUGCAUAUUCAGGUAUGGACUAGGGAAGAUGUUCUUAAUGGAGGUUUUAGCAUCCGCUAUUUAAAGAAGCACCUGCAGAGACUAUUGGAACAGGGUUGCUUGUCAGAAGUGCAAUUUUACUUUGAUACAAGGGGAAUCACUAUGGAGAGCACAUCUUCAUGUUUGGUGAUUGAAGCUGUACAGAAUACCUUCCACAACUUGAUGUGGUUGCUCCUAGAAUGUACAUGUUUUUUUUUUCCUAUCAUACAUAUUUCUUCUGUGUUCUUUGUACAUAGAAUUUUUUGCAGAAGGGACAGUCAUCUGGGCUGGCCACCGGAAAAUUGGUCUCGCUUGGAGACCCAAAGUUUCUGUGUAAAUAGAAAGCGAUACACCUCCUGUCAUCUCCGGUGCUUUCUUCUUCUUUUUUUUUUGGACUGGGGAAGUUGCAUUCGUGUUAAAUCGAAUACCUCUGAUGAAUAUUCGAGUGCAAAAUAAGAAUACAAAGGUCAUUCACCAAACCACACCAUGCUCUCCGCAUAAAGAACCAGGCAAUGCAAUUUGCUCUUUGAUCUGCUUGUCCCGAAUUUCCUGGAAACAAAUUUGUAAUUGUCAAAGACACGGGAGAAAAGAAAAGGAUUAGACUUUCAAUUAGCGAACAAUUUUCUUUAGUUUGGUUUUGUAUGAUAAUUUAUCAAAAGAAAUUCAGUUUAUGGUUUGCAAACAAAA